ensembl:lncRNA
UAUAAUAUCCUUAUAUAUUAUUACUAUAUUUUCAUCGUAUUCUGGCAAAUACAGUAAUACAUGAAAACAAGUUUAUAGUGUAUAUGACAUUUUUUGCAUCAGGAUUAUUUCAGUGGGUAAUUAUGUUUUGCUUAUGCCAGAUGCCCAAGAAAGCAGCGGUCGACAAGGAUUCAAUUUUCACAGUCCUCUGUUCAUCAAAAGAGGCCAUAGUCCAAAAUCGCAACAUAGCUACUCCUAAUCAGAGCAUCUGACAGAGCUUAGUGAGCAGCUAGAAAACAAGAUCACUGCAAAGGCUCUAUAUACUUUUGUUAAAUUGAACAGACACAACAUCUGAACUGCUUUAGGGUUUAUUUAUGAAAGUGAUCAUGAAACAAGUGGCAGUAGUGAUGACACUGAUUUUGAGCCAGGGUCCCUUUCCCCAAGACCAAAAGAUUUCUGGACUUUUGAUCUUCAAGUUCCAUUUCAGAAAUGGACUGAAUUCAUGCCCGAAACAGUUCAAUACAAAAACAAGUUCUCUAAAACACAAAAAAGGGAAUAUACAAUUUUGAAGCCUGGCAUCUGGACAUAUGUGAUAAAUCAUCACAAGUGAAAAGCCCCUGCACAUUUGUCUUUAUAAGAGCCAAGUUCUACCCAUUAGUAACAGAGAAAUUCAUAGAAAUCAGAGGCAAUUGUAAGGAAAGUCAUGGCCACAUUCACAUAAAAUGUGACAGAGAGCCUGAAAUGAACAGCCCAAUGGUGCUCAAUUGUGUAAUUAAAAACACUGACGACUACCUGCACACUGGAUGUUCGAAGCGUCUGAUGUCUGGUAACUUGCAUGUGCAGACAGCCAAGGAACUUUGUGAGGGUAGAAUGGAACCCCAUGUAUGGAGGGCAUCAAAGGCAACAAAGCUGAUGGAUUUUGGAGAUCCUGAACCAAGCCAUCUUCCUAAUUUGGCCACCCUGCACAAAGCAAAGCAAGAGAGAAAUGACUUAGAAUUAGGUGACAAGGAUCCUAUUUUGUUACUGCAGAUGUUAAAUAUAGUGCACCUCACAGUGGUAGCAUUAAAGACAUUGGACUGGACAAAUUCUUCUGUCACUACUGGAGUCAAACACAAAUGUUUAUGUACAAGUCAUUAUCAAAAACUGACUGUCUACUAACCCCACUGUGAGUUUUGAUGCAACUGGCUCAGUGGUGAGGAAACUACAGAAACCAAAUGGCAUGUCUGGCCAUAUCUUCUUAUAUCAGGGUGUUCUGGCAGGGGAUGAGAGUUCAAGUGUCCCAGUGGUGCAAAUGCUGUCAGAGAGACACGAUGUUAAUGCAAUAACACAUUGGCUGACAGAAUGGAUACGUGCAGGUGCACCAAUUCCAAAAGAGGUUGUGAGUGACUUUUCUCUGGCUUUGCUUGGAGCGCUGGUCAAGGCUUUUACUGCUCAUUCUGAUCUGAAGACCUACAUCAAUGAGUCUUGUGGUGUCUUACUCGGUAAAGUGUCAGCAAAAGUGCCACCUUGUUUGUUCAGGUUGAUGUUGCACACUGCAUCAAGAUGGUCUGCCAGUGGGACUGCUUGAAGAAAAAAAUCACAUCACAUUAAAGAUUUCUUUGUGAGGUCAAUGGCACAGCUUCUCAAGUCACAAUCCAUGGACAAUGCAAGAGAGCUACUACGCAGUAUUACUGUUGUGGCUCUCAGCAAAGCAGAGGGCAAUGAUAGCUCUGGAGCCCCCCUUAUAUCAGAAAGAUGCAAGAAAUACCUGAAAGCCAGAAUUGCAGAAGAGUGUGUAAUCAUUCCAGAUGUAGAGUGUGAGGACCUGGAAGAAGUGCAUCCAUUUGACCAAACACAGACUGACCUACGGCAGUGGGUGACAGACAUAUGUGAGGAGAGCAGGUCACUUGCCCUGGCUAAUGGUGAUCAUGAUAAUAUGCACUUCCUCCCUGAGAUUAUUCCCAAUAUAAUCUGGCUUGCAAAUUACUUACCACUCUGGACAGGGGUAAUGAUCCCUCACUUCCGAAGCACCAACAUCACUGCAAGUUCAGCCAAUGUUGAAGCAGAGUUCAAAAACAUCAAACGUGGGCUCUUCAAGCAUGAAAACUUGCCUAUUCGGGUGGAUCAAUUCAUUGCUCGACAUUUGUCCUUCAUUGAGGGUAAUAUGUGAAUUUAUUCUGCAAAACAAAAAGGUGAAGAAGGUGAAGAAGAUGCUGCUGUUGCAACAGUGAUCAUCACAGGAGCCAAUCCAAUACCCACCACAACUUGCUGUGAAGACGGAAAAGCAGAAAUGGAUGCUUCCUGUUCUGGGAAGUCUGACACUGUCACAAACAUCCAUCUGUUGUGGAUAAAAAUGACAUGAAAUAAACAUGAGGGAGACCUAGUAUGAGUAAUAUGUAAUUUUAUUGAAAAUUCACAGGACUGGUAGGUGCGUAAUCUUGAGGAGAGUGGUAGGGGGAAGAAAAUGGGGUGUGAAAAUCGGGUGUGCAUCAGCCGUGAGAUGCGCGAGCUGAUAGUGAGUGUUCAGGUCCAAAUCCAGCCCCUCCUGUAAAGAAGAGAAGGGAAAAUGACGAUGGGCACCUAGACACACAGAAGCGGUAUAAGGCGAAUAUUGACAAAUUGGAUUCACACUUUAAGAUCUUUUAAGAGUAACACACUAUGGUCUAUUAGUCAAAAAGAAGUAUUAGAGCUGAGGAGUGCAAACACACACACACACACUCUCGUACAGUCAAGGGCGGGCAUGUAGACAUAACACACACAGACACACUCUCUGUCUCUCUCUCUCACACACAUAACAUUAUAACUUUAUAAGAAUAAUAAAAAGGAGUAUUAAGAUAUUAUAAGGGUAAUAUCUUAUAAUAAUAGAAAACUCUUUAUAAAAUAAAGAGUAGUAGGAUAUGUAGAACAGUAGAAGGGUAAUAUAAUGAUAUUAUGAAGUAGGAAGUACAGUAAACCAUUUUGCAAGCAGUAUAACUAUAUAUAAAAUAGAGAUAUAGAGCAAAUAUGAAAAUAAAUUAUGAACCAGAAAUACAGAAAAAUGUAACUUACUCAUAAUUCAGAUGGUGAAGAUUCUUGUCUCGCAAGGAAGGCCUUAAUUUUAAGAGAAAACCAUGAGGAGCCAUUUAUAAGGGUAGCUGAGUCAAGCUGCCCCUGCGAGAUAAUAGUGAGACCAAGGUCUCUCUAAAUUGUUUUGUCUCUCUACCACUUUCGAUCCUAAUGGUAUCCAGAAAGUCCUCUUUCAAAACAUAAUGGUAAAUUUGAUAAGCCUCUUUCAAAACAUAAUGGUAAUGUAGAUGAGCUCUUUUUUUAACCCUAUUGGUAUUGAUAUCAUAGUCUUUCUGAAAUAUAUUGGUUAUCUACUGUGUAAAUACAGUAUAAAUACUGGAGCUUGAGCUCCAGGUGUCAGAUCACUUCUGAGAAUUCUCAUGGGUGUGGAUCUCGUGUGGUGGAAGGAAACCAAUAAAUCUGGACCCUUGCUUCUUCUCACUCAUGGCUGGUGUCUUUUUUUCUAUCUCCAACUGGGUUUACAGAUGUGAGUAUUUGCUUCUAUGUUGAAUUUUAAGUGUUUUUGGGUAAUAGGCUAAAUUUGGGCCGGUUCUGUUGUGUCUCUUUUUUAAAACUUCGAGAUUUUUUCCACAUGAACUUCAGAACGCCAUAUUUUAAAUGCUGUACGGACAUAACAUUAAGACAUAUAUCCAUGAAUUGACUUUCUAGUACUUGUGCAGCUCCUGUUGUACUUCCUGUGUAUUUUAAUUGACAGAUGUAUCUUCCAAACAACGGUAAGUAAUCCAUUCGCAAACUACACCUACCUUUUCCAUUUUGUCGGAUUUGUUAAUAUAAUGUGUUUUCGGAUUUGUUAGUUUGUUUUCUGAUUUGUUAAUUUGUUUUCUGAUUUGUUAAUGUGUUUUUGGAUUUGUUAAUGUGUUUUCUGAUUUGUUAAUGUGUUUUCUGAUUUGCUAAUGUGUUUUCGGAUUUGUUAAUGUGUUUUGCACUUCACGGCCACCGUACAUUUUUCACAUUACGACAUAAUAAUAUACUCUGACAUGUUUAACAUUUUCUGACGUAGUGAUGAGUAAUAUAAUUGUUUACAUUAAAAUCUAUAACAUGAUAAUAAAGUAUGAAAAGGUGAAAAAGUGAGGACUGAAGUGAAGAAAGUCAGUUUUCAUCAAAUGUGCUCUGAUGAGACUUCUGGCUGAGCAUGUGAGUGAGAAGACACGCGUGGAGUGAGCUCCUAAGCAUUUUAUCUUUUAAUUGUGCUUUUCAGGCAACCCAAAUCUUUUCUAAGACAUUUGGUGCCUUCUUUUUCAAUUACUCAGUUUACAAUUAUAAACAGAAAGGAGUUAUGGCUUCUGAAAGACUACGGAAACCUAAAUCUUCACUGUUGGAAACUCUCUAUUCUCUAUUCCCUCAGAUAUGUAUAAGUAUGUUUAGGUUAUAGUUUAAUUUCUGUCUCAUGAUCUUUUCUAGACCUGUCUGAUGUGUACGUGCCAGUAAAAAUGUCACCAUAGGAACUUCCUAUUUUCUGUUAAGAGAACCAGACCAUAUAUGAUCAACAACUGCUGUACAUUCUUGUAUUGCCUAAGAUGUUUUUCACAUAGGUGGCCAGACAAUUCAACUGCCAUAUUAUUUCCACACAGUAGUGCACCUACCCCGGCUAUUCGUACCUUUGUAUAUGUAUAUAUAAACCUCUGUGAAAUCUGCAUCAAACCAGACGUCUCUUUGAACUGCUCUGGUUGCCAGUGUGUUCAUAUAGACUCUCCAGGCCUGCAUACACUCCGUGAUAAACCACAUGCACUAGAUUUUCUUUUGAGUAAAUGAACCAAGAGGGUGAAAAGGCUGACGGAGGAAAGAGGGAUAAUAGAAGCUGUUAUUUGCUUUAUCCCUAAAAUUCACCAAGCAUGACAGUGAGUCAUGGUGACAAGCUACUGUUGGACCUGGGAAACCUCCGCACUGCUUUGAUCACGGAGCUAACAUCUACCAUUGCAAUACAGGCUAAUGACUCUGCUCUGGCCCCAGUUGUUGAGUCUUUUGAGAGUUUUAAAUCGAGCAUUGAAUCACAAGGACAACGUAUUGACGAGCUUGACCAGCACCUGUAUGAUUACAGUGAUCGCAUUAUAGCACUGGAACAGAUGGUGCAAAAGCUAAAUUCGGCUAAUAAACAACUCGAAUAUCUACCAAUCGUUAUUUCGGAUGACGUCCCUUUAAGUCUUGACAUUCUUCCACUUUCGCAUCGCACCUUUCGCCUACCAUGGAGGCAACUUUUGAAACAUAUCAUAUUAAGUCAUAAGCUUGUGAAACAUGUCUUAGUAUCAUAUUAAUUCAUAAACAUGUGAAACAUAUCAUAUUAAAUAAUAAACAUGUGAAACGUCAUGUUAAGUCAUAAACAUGUGAAACGUCAUAUUAAAUCAUAAAUAUGUGAAACACAUCAUAAUAUCAUAUUAAGUCACGAACAUGUGAAACAUAUCAUUUUAAGUCAUAAACAUGUGAAACAUGUCAUAGUGUCAUAUUAAGUCAUAACCAUGUGAAACAUAUCAAAUUAAGUCAUAAACAUAAACACGUCAUAGUAUCAUAUUAAGGCAUAAAUAUGUGAAACAUAUCCUAUAAAGUCAUAAACAUGUGAAACAUAUCAUAUUACAUCAUAAGCAUGUGAAACAUAUCAUAUUAUAUCAUAAACAUGUGAAACAUAUCAUACUGAUUAAAAACACAUGAAAAAUAUCAUAUUAAGUCAUAAACAUGUGAAACGUGUCAUGUUAAGUCAUAAACGUGUGAAGCAUGUCAAAUUAAGUCAUAAAAAUAUGAAACAUGUCAAAGUAUCAUAUUAAGGCAUAAACAUGUUAAACAUAUCAUAUUAAGUAAUAAACAUGUUAAACAUGUCUUAGUAUCAUAAUAAGUCGUAAAUAUGUUGUGAGGGAAAUUACUCAUUUUUAUUUUGUAAUAAGUUUGUUCUUGUUCUGUUUCAUUCUCAUGUGAGGAUAAUGCCUAUGAAGGCCACGUCAUGUCACUCAGAGAUCAGUACAGAAUGUUUAUCUUCUUACAGAGACACAAACAUGUUAUUCCGCUCAAGGUUCAUCUAAACAUCUUCCAAGAUCCUAAAACAAAGCCUGUUUGAACUGCCUCAAACUGCUUCUUAUCGGUACACAGAAUUAUGUCAUGCUCUGCGUUUCAUAUAUAUAGUAGUGGUUCAGUACAAGGGGUUCAGAGAGCUCUCAUUAUUCUAUCCUGCUUUAUUCUAUCCUGUGUUAACAAUCUUUCUGUAAUAAACCCUUUUACCUUAAGAGGACGAGUCUGCGAGUGUUGUCUAAUUUCCACGACAAUUUGGUGUCUCCUGGCUGGGCUGCACAAGUCUUUUCAGCUUUUCUGGACAACAAGCAAACCGGAGGACGCAUGUGGAAAAGUUUCACCCUGAAGCUCAUGUCAAUACAGGCGGUUUGCCCUUUAUUGUGCAGAGCGAAAGACCAACGCAACCUUACCACUGACCGGUAGGAAUCAUCAAAAAAAAAAAAAAAAAAAAACAGCCUUAAGGCAAACGUCAGCUCUUCUUAUCUCCUUUACUGGAGGGGCUGGAUUUGGAUCUGAACACUCGCUAUCAGCUAGCGCACCUCACCGCUGACAUCACCAUGCUGAUUGAGGUCCUCCGCACCCCACCUGCUGACUCGGGCUUUCCACCACCCCUUAGGUACAGGUGUGAAAGUGUGCGUGGAUGCUGCCACUCAGACUGACCCUCUGCCUACUGUACCCCCCUCCAGCUAUCCAACUGACGAUGACGCGGCCUUCUCUGACCCAGGCUCUGAUUUCUCUCUUCCUUUUUCACCUGUCAGUCCUGAAUACUCUCCUCCAUACACCUCAGCAGGCUAUUGUUCCUCCCCAGGGCAUACGCCGUACUACCAGCCCUUCUCUCCUUUUCGCUCAUCCUCACCCACUGUCUAUACCCCCACGAGCCCUGUUAAUUCUCAAUAAAAAUCACGUGUUACUCAUGCUUUGUCUCCCUCGUGUUUUAUUUCAUAUCUAUUUUACAGACAACACUACCUGUUCUGCACUAACAGCCUGUAU